rnacentral:rRNA from 1 species
UACGUAGGUGGCAAGCGUUGUCCGGAUUUACUGGGCGUAAAGGGAGCGUAGGCGGACUUUUAAGUGAGAUGUGAAAUACUCGGGCUCAACUUGAGUGCUGCAUUUCAAACUGGAAGUCUAGAGUGCAGGAGAGGAGAAUGGAAUUCCUAGUGUAGCGGUGAAAUGCGUAGAGAUUAGGAAGAACCCCAGUGGCGAAGGCGAUUCUCUGGACUGUAACUGACGCUGAGGCUCGAAAGCGUGGGGAGCAAACAGG